GACAGAGGGUGCAAACGUUGUUCGGAAUUACUGGGCGUAAAGCGUGUGUAGGCGGCUGCGUAAGUCGGAUGUGAAAGCCCCAGGCUCAACCUGGGAAGUGCACUCAAUACUGCGCAGCUUGAGUAUCGGAGAGGUUGGUGGAAUUCUCGGUGUAGAGGUGAAAUUCGUAGAUAUCGAGAGGAACACCGGUGGCGAAGGCGGCCAACUGGACGAAUACUGACGCUGAGACACGAAAGCGUGGGGAGCAAACAGG
rnacentral:rRNA from 1 species